rnacentral:rRNA from 1 species
UACAGAGGUCUCAAGCGUUGUUCGGAUUCAUUGGGCGUAAAGGGUGCGUAGGCGGCGCGGUAAGUCGGGUGUGAAAUCUUGGAGCUUAACUCCGAAACUGCAUUCGAUACUGCCGUGCUUGAGGACUGGAGAGGAGACUGGAAUUUACGGUGUAGCGGUGAAAUGCGUAGAUAUCGUAAGGAAGACCAGGUGGCGAAGGCGGGUC